GACGAACGCUGCCGGCGUGCCUAAUACAUGCAAGUAGACGCACCAGGAUGCACCGUAGUUUACUACACCGUAUUCUGUGAGUUGCGAACGGGUGAGUAACGCGCAGGUAACCUGCCUGGUAGCGGGGGAUAACUAUUGGAAACGAUAGCUAAUACCGCAUAAGAACAUUUACUGCAUGGUAGAUGUUUAAAAGGUGCAAGAGCAUCACUACCAGAUGGACCUGUGUUGUAUUAGCUAGUUGGUGAGGUAACGGCUCACCAAGGCAACGAUACAUAGCCGACCUGAGAGGGUGAUCGGCCACACUGGGACUGAGACACGGCCCAGACUCCUACGGGAGGCAGCAGUAGGGAAUCUUCGGCAAUGGGGGGAACCCUGACCGAGCAACGCCGCGUGAGUGAAGAAGGUUUUCGGAUCGUAAAGCUCUGUUGUUAAGGAAGAACGUGUGUGAGAGUGGAAAGUUCACACAGUGACGGUACUUAACCAGAAGGCGGUAACCA
rnacentral:rRNA from 1 species